GUACAUUCCAUUUUGCAUAUAAUGAAACUAGAUCAAUGCAGAGAAGAUCAGCAUGGAUCCUCAUAAGUAUGAUGUACAAAUUCAUACAGCAAUACAUAUGUUC